CACGGUCCAGACUCCUACGGGAGGCAGCAGUAGGGAAUCUUCCGCAAUGGGCGAAAGCCUGACGGAGCAACGCCGCGUGAGUGAUGAAGGUCUUCGGAUCGUAAAACUCUGUUAUUAGGGAAGAACAUAUGUGUAAGUAACUGUGCACAUCUUGACGGUACCUAAUCAGAAAGCCACGGCUAACUACGUGCCAGCAGCCGCGGUAAUACGUAGGUGGCAAGCGUUAUCCGGAAUUAUUGGGCGUAA
rnacentral:rRNA from 1 species